CCUCACGGCACGGCACGGGGGUCAGGUUUUGGGGAAUUGAUGGUGUGAAUCCUGCUCUCAGCCAGGGAAAUUUGGCUCGGACUUUCGGUGACUGGCUUCAGAAACAGUUACCUGGAGACUGAAAAGAUAAACCGAACGUGUCUUGAGAGGAAUGUCGGGGCGAAGAUGAAGCUCUGAUGGUCUAAGUCUCUCCACCCGCAUCCUUGACCAUGACGUGGUUCCAAGUCUGUUAUGUCACAACACUGCUUGUGUUGUAGACUUGGGAGGGAGUCCUGGAGCAAGGAUGGGCCAGCCUAGUCUGCACAGUGAGUUCCAGCCAUUUCAGAGAUGUAUAGUGAGUACCCAGCAUGCCAUGGAGAAGAAAGAAAGCCGCAAAACCAGCAACCAGACACGAAAGAAUUGUUAUGAUUAGAAAGAAAGACUUUGAAAUUUUAGUUCCACAGG
ensembl:lncRNA